rnacentral:sRNA from 1 species
UGACAUCUAGUCAUAUUUGACUCCAAAACACUAAACAAGCUUCUUCUUGCUUCUCAAAGCUUUGAUAGUGACGUCGAAGUCCGUAUGAGUCUUUGGCUUUGUAUCUUCUAACAAGGAAACAAU